UGCAACCAAUGAUGCAACCUGUUUAUCUUUUCUGAGUUUUCUAUGAUUAUCAUCUAAAAUAUCACCAUCUUUCGGCUGAGGUUGCG